rnacentral:rRNA from 1 species
UACGUAGGGGGCAAGCGUUGUCCGGAAUUAUUGGGCGUAAAGCGCGCGCAGGCGGUCAUUUAAGUCUGGUGUUUAAUCCUGGGGCUCAACCCCAGUUCGCAUCGGAAACUGGAUGACUUGAGUGUAAGAGAGGAAAGUGGAAUUCCACGUGUAGCGGUGAAAUGCGUAGAGAUGUGGAGGAACACCGAUGGCGAAGGCAGCCUCCUGGGCCAGCACUGACGCUCAUGCACGAAAGCGUGGGGAGCAAACGGG